rnacentral:tRNA from 1 species
CAGGAAAUAGUUUAAUUUAGAAUAUCUCCUUUGGGAGGAGGUGGUGGAAGUUAAAAUCUUCCUUUUCUGG